rnacentral:rRNA from 1 species
AUACAGAGGGUGCAAGCGUUAAUCGGAAUUACUGGGCGUAAAGCGCGCGUAGGCGGUUUGGUCAGUCGGAUGUGAAAGCCCCGGGCUUAACCUGGGAAUUGCAUUCGAUACUGCCAAACUAGAAUGUAGUAGAGGGAAGUGGAAUUCAGGGUGUAGCGGUGAAAUGCGUAGAGAUCCUGAGGAACAUCAGUGGCGAAGGCGACUUCCUGGACUAACAUUGACGCUGAGGUGCGAAAGCGUGGGGAGCAAACAGGAUUAGAUACCCCAGUAGUCC